UACGAAGGGGGCUAGCGUUGCUCGGAAUCACUGGGCUUAAAGGGCGCGUAGGCGGGCCACCAAGUCUGCGGUGAAAUCCUACCCGCCUCAACGGGAGGAACGGCCGUGGAGACUGGGGGUCUGGAGGCGGGUAGGGGCGUGCGGAACUCUGGGUGGAGCGGUGAAAUGCGUUGAUAUCCAGAGGAACUCCGGUGGCGAAGGCGGCACGCUGGACCCGAUCUGACGCUGAGGCGCGAAAGCCAGGGGAGCGAACGGG
rnacentral:rRNA from 1 species